rnacentral:misc_RNA from 1 species
GUAUUUUUCAGAUUAAAUGGUUCAGACUAUGAACAUUGAACAAAGAAUUGAGAAUAAAGGUUACAAAGAUGAAAGAUAAAGAUUUGAUUAAGGAAGAACAUACGAUGGAAAAUACAGCAGUUGAAGGCUCUUCUGUAGAAGUAGAAGAUAUUUGUACAGUUCUCAUAAAAGAAGAAGAUGUGAAAAUGGAAAGUACAGAAGUAAAAAGAGAGAUUGCUAGUGAUGGCGGAGAUUUUCUUUUCUUUAAGCCUAAGAGCCCCAGAAAGAUUAGAUAUGAAGGAAUGAAAUAUCAGUGUAAUCAUUGUGAAUACGCUGCCAAUUUUGUAGGCAACUUGAGAAAACACAUUGAAAAUAAGCAUAAUGGUGUGAAGUAUCCAUGUGCUCAGUGUGCAUACGCUGCUACUACUGAAAGUAGUUUAAAGAGACAUAUUAGAGAGUUACACAAGGGAAUGCGAUGUCCUUGUGACUAUUGUGAAUACGCUGCCACUAAUCCAUUUAAUCUUAAGAAACAUAUAAAAAAUAGACAUGAAAGAGAAAAUUAUCUAUGCGAACACUGUGAAUAUGCUACUACUGCUGCAAGUAACAUGAAGAAACAUAUUGAAAUCAAGCAUUCUGGGGUUAGAUAUCCAUGUACACAGUGCAGUUAUGCUGCUACUACCACAAGUAGUCUUAAUAGACAUGUUAAAACGUUACAUGAAGGACUAAGAUAUCCAUGCAACCAUUGUGAAUAUGCUGCCACUAAUGCAUGUAAUCUGAGAAAACAUUUAAAGAAUAGACACGAAAACAAACUUUAAUGUUCCUUCGCUAUAGUCCAUUUAAUAUAUUUCCAUAAAAGCUUUCAUCUGGGGUAUAAGUAAAAUGUAUUGUAUAUAGUGUUGAAAAUCAACCCCCCCCCCUGGUAAAAGAAAAAAUUUCCUCACUCUGUUAGGCUUUUUAAAGACAUUUUUAAUUUUACUAAUGUAAUGUACAAUUUAAAUGUAUAGUUUUACUAAAGAGACAAAAAUAUUUAAACUGGAACCUUCUAUCACAUAGAGGUUUUGUCUCUGAACCAAGUUUGUACUCUUUUUUUUCUCUAGCUUCAUUAAUUUAUGAAUCUGUGAAUUAAAAAAAUGUUG